GUACAGUAUUUGGCCACUUUCCUGCCCUAGGCUAUCUGACUGUGCACACCAAGGAAUCACCAUCGACCAAUCGCAGUGCUCUGCCAGAGUGAGGACGUGGGUGGACGAUGCUGUGUGUGUAUGUGUGUGUAUAUGGGGGGAGUGGGGUGUGGGGGGAAAUAGUGGUUGGGAAGGGUGUCUGCUUUUAUUCGUGACAGUGUGUAUGUGUGUGUGUGUGUGUGUGUGUGUGUGGCGUGGGUUUGAGCAAGAUCAAGGGUUUUAGUGAAGUGGAAACAUGAAACACCCAAAAAGGGAAAAAAUGAGAGAAAGGAACACUAGGGGUAGGAGGUUCAUGACUGAUCAUAAACUGAACACAUCUUAACUCAACACAGAAGAAAACAAUUCAUAAAGAAUUAUAAAGAUUGACAAAUGCAUACAGAUGACAAAAGGGUUAACUUGCUGUAGCUUACAUUAUACCUCAUUUGAAAGGAAAAGGUCAAAAACAUCUGCCAAACAAAAAAACAAAUAAAUAAAUAGAUAUAAGCCACUGAACAGAGAUAAACACAGAGUGUGUGUGUGUGUGGAGCCAUUAGACUUCCUUCUUCACAAUGGCCACAUCCUCUGUGGUCCCCCGGGUUCUUCUUGCUGUGUUCUCUGAAUCAGCAUUGCGUCUUCAAUGUGUCUCUGCCACAGCUGUCAGUUACCCUGCUGACAAAAACAGCUGAAAACCGGCUGAAUGCUGCUAGAAGGUUUUAGCUGCACUGGUCUUGCCUGGUUUUAGCUGGUCAAGUUUUUUUUUUUUUUUCAGCAGGGUGGGCUACCCUGGAGGGGUGGUGUGUGUCAGGGGGCACCUCCCACAUGUGGUAACGAUCUGUGAAGGCACCCGUGUGUGGAGGAGAGGGGGAGGCCGGAGGGAGGUGGGAGGUGGGAGGUGGGGGUCGCCAUUACGAGCUGGAGGGAUGUGCUCCAAGCCCUACGACAGGACUAUCAGUUAGGAAGUGUCGGUGGUAAUUGGGCAAAGCGACGUCUAGGCCUUUACCAGUGCAGGAACUCAUGGAAGUUCAGCAGGAGAUAGGAACCUUUGGGUGGGAGGAACCGCCCACUACAUUAACCACCUUUUUGUAGCUCCUUCAGGGUACUACUACAGAAUUGUACCACCCUUUUCUGGGAGGGAUAGAUUGAUCCCAAAGGAAAAUGACGUGUAAGUACUAUGAGCAGAAGCAGGACAGAUGUUUAGAUUCCUCCUCUUUAGACAACAAUGAUAUGAGCCCUACUUUAUCCAAACUGACUGCCAAAGCACUGAAGCAAUGGGCCAC
ensembl:lncRNA